GAUGAACGCUAGCGGCAGGCCUAAUACAUGCAAGUCGAACGGCAGCACGGGGGCAACCCUGGUGGCGAGUGGCGAACGGGUGAGUAAUGCAUCGGAACGUGCCCCGUAGCGGGGAUAACCAGUCGAAAGACUGGCUAAUACCGCAUACGCUCCACGGAGGAAAGCAGGGGAUCGCAAGACCUUGCACUAUGGGAGCGGCCGAUGCCCGAUUAGCUAGUUGGUGAGGAAAGGCUCACCAAGGCGACGAUCGGUAGCUGGUUUGAGAGAACGACCAGCCACACUGGGACUGAGACACGGCCCAGACUCCUACGGGAGGCAGCAGGUGGGGAAUUUUGGACAAUGGGCGCAAGCCUGAUCCAGCCAUGCCGCGUGC
rnacentral:rRNA from 1 species